CGUGAGAGCGGACGCUAAAACAUAAUAAAUUAUUUCACAAUCUUCCAUUCCUAUCAAUCAAAUUCUUUACAUUACUUAUUAUUAUUAUUAUUACCGAAAGAUACAAGGGUCGAAUCCUGCCCCUACUACGCGCAACAUAAAAUACACGCCAUUUUCGCUCUGCUGUUUUGAGCAGACCAAACCAAACAGAACAGAGAUGUUAUUGCAGUUGGAUAAUUACAAGCUAAAUUGAAGGAAUACAUAAAGAGCGGGGUGGAUAAUAAUUUCAGUGCGCAAGCAAUUUUGUUGUGGAAGUAUUGACAGGGAUGUUUUAGUUUGGUGACAUGGGAAUUUCAGAGGAAGAGGAUUGGAUACUAUAUUUGAUAAGCAGGUUAGGGUUUUUUCGAAAAUAGCAGGGGAUAUUGAACUUUUUAACAUUAUUGAGGGUUUCUAUGACAUGGCACCGGCUAAAAGGCGUGCAGGCAAAGCAUCCGCCUGCCAGAAAUGGAGUCUGGGUGAUCUUGUGCUGGCGAAGGUCAAGGGUUUUCCCGCAUGGCCCGCCAAGAUAAGUAAACCAGAAGAUUGGGGCCAGACGCAUGAUCCAAGGAAAGUUUUUGUGUAUUUUUUUGGCACAAAGGAAAUUGGCUUCUGUUUUCCAACUGAUAUCCAGACAUUCACCUUAGAUUUGAAAAAUAAAUUGACAGCUAAAUGUUAUGGAAGAACUGCAUCUGACUUUACUCGAGCAGUGGAGGAAAUUUGUGAAGAAUAUGAUGAUUUAGAAACAGAAAAGAGGGAUGUAACCCCAGAGAUUCAUAAAAUGAAGGCUAGAACAUGCAUUGACAGUUCAAAUGAUUCUGCAGAAAAGAUGUCAUUUAAAGAUUUAAAAAUGCAUGCUCCAACUCAUGAAUUAGAGGAAGUGUUGAAAGUUCAAAUUAAUGAUCGCAUUCAAAAACAUCGUGAGACAACAGUAAAGAAAAAUGACCUAUAUACAGAAGUACAUAGACAAGUAGAUGGCCAAAAGAAACGAGUAAAUAUGGGUGCAGGUGAGAGUAAGGAAAAAGAUGCAUCCCUCAUAAAACCCUCUGAUAAGAAAGAGGAGAAAAUUUUCAGUGAGUUAACAAUGGGUGUUAAAAUGCAAAACUCUGUUGCUACACCUAAAACAAAUCAUAUGAGGUCAUAUUUGAGGGAAGAGAAGGCUACAAGUCAUGCUGAGUACCAUGCAAAGAAUGAUCUUUCUUGUCCAGCAUCUGCAAUAGGUGAGUCAGAGAUUAAGAAAGUAAAAAGUGGUUUCAGGAGAACAUUGGAAAGUGAAAGUUAUGUAUACGAUCAUAAAGAGAAAAUGGCUGUCACUUGCCCUCUGCUUAAAGAAAAUGGUACGUCCUCUCCAGAUAAAGCACCCACUUUGGGGUGCUCUAUGACUGAACAUCAGUUUGAGCAGAAAGGAAAAAUCACUCCACAAGAAUUCCGAGAUGCUCAUUUGGCAACUCAAAGUGAUCAUCUAGAAGAGAGAAAAAUGGUAACAAAUAUACUUGCCAACAAUUUUGAAUAUUUUAAUUAUGAUGACACUGAAGGGAACAGUCAAUUUUCAGGCAUAAAUGAUAAUGCCAAAGAAGAGCAGGAUUUUGAAGACAUUAAUGCCAGCCCAAUUCUUAAUGAUAAAAAGCCCACUCAUUUUCCAUUUGUAAGUACAGAAGAGGGUGAGAAAGAAGUGACAGAUGGUGUCUUACAACAUAAUUCCAUUUUGAAGAAGAAACGGAACCUUCUAAAGAAACAUAAUCCUGGGACAUCAGUGCUAAAUGUUAACCAGGAAAAAAUGAAUGUUCUCACAGAAGAGGAAAAUGUGUUUGAAUUACUAUCAGGGACAGAUCAUCGGAAGAAAAGGACACAACUUCUUAAAGGGAGAAAGCAUAAACUUAAGCUUGAUGAAACUCUUCAUUUGCUAAAAAGAGCAAGAUCUCAUUCGGAAGAUGAAAUUGCUGUAAUGACAGAAGGCUUAAAUACAGAAAACAUAUCAAGUACCAUCAACAAUGCUGGGAAAAAUGCUAUAGUGGAUAAUGAUUUGUACUCACAUCAUAUGCCAUUCAAGUCUAAUGAUAGAAUGGGCUCUAGUAGUCCUCAAAUUGAAGCAAAUUCAUCACAUGGUGAGAAGUCCUCAUUUGUGCUUGGGAAGGCUAUGUGUCUGCCACCAAAGGCUGAUAAGUAUCGUUUGAGAAGCAGCUUACCAGGUGAUGAAGCUGCCUUGCCUCCCUCUAAACGGCGUCAUCGAGCUCAGGAAGCUAUGUCAGCAUGUGUUGCAGAAGCUGCUACUGCCUCGAACAUGACAAAUGGUUCAGAUGGACAGGAAGAUGCAUGGGGAAUUUCUUCACAUGAAAAACCAUUUACGGAAUGCUUUGAUAGUGAAAGGAAGUUAGUGCAUGGAAAUGAGGAUUGUAUGAAAAGAAGCCACUCUUCAUUUCCAGUAGAAGUAACUGGUACUGUAGUGAAGAAAUCUGUGAUGUUUCCAGAUCUGCAUCAAUCUUAUGGAAGCUUACUGUCAGAACCUUCUAACUGCUUAGAGAAGAAGCAGGUGAAUUCAAAGUUUGAAGAUUUAAUGACUCCUAUCCAGAGGGGUAAAUGGCAGACACUGGAGAAUGGUGAUUUGAAUGUGCAGCCCAAAAUUUCAGAUAGAUUGUCUUUGUCAUCUCAUAAAAAGGAUGAAUGGAAGCACAAUGGCAUGAUUGCAUCAAAGCUACCUUCUCCAAAGAAGCAAGAUGGAUCAGAGAUUAUUUUAAGAAGAGGUAAUUCACCUCACCAAUCUCCAAUUAAGGUUCAUGGUGCAGUAAGGGUUGAUGCUGAUGAACAUGAGAACAAAUCUAAGAGCAUCAAGGUAAAAAGGUCUUGUGUAACUCCAGGAAAGAAAAAUGGUGGAGGUUUGAGGAAAGAUCAAGGGCCAUCAGGAUCAGAUAAACAUAAUCAAGUGUCUUCUGGAUUAGAUAAACAUAAUCAAGUGCCUUUUGGAUCAGAUAAACAUAGUCAAGGGCAUUUACCUAAGCACUUGGCUGUGCGCAAGAAUGAACAAACUUCCCCUUCAAGAAGUGUGGUUGAACCUGCAGUAGAUAGGAUGGUAGCAUCUUCAAAAUCUAACUUGAAAAUAAAUGGUCCUCUAAUGGUCAAGUCUGAGCGUGUUUCAUAUUCUGCAGAGUUGCAUCUAGAGAAAGGAAGCAAACUUAGAGACACGCAUGAUUCUGCAAGGGAACUUAAACUCAAAACAAUGUCAAAGGACUCUGACAUUGCUCUCUCAUCUACAUCUAUGAAGCAUCUUAUAGCUGCUGCACAGGCUAAGAGAGAUCAGGCACGAUCUGCAACUAUGCCACAGUUUGUUGCAAAUGAAGAAACUGUGAAUUCUAUUCCUGUUUUUAUGUCAAGCCCUUCACCAAUCCGAGAAACUAGUUCACAUCGCUGUUCACCUCUUCAAUUACAUUCUGCCAGUGUGCCACACGAGGAUGCUAAGAAUGCCUUUGCUGGUGUGGAAUCUGGAAGCCCUCGAGGAAAUGUUGAUCAGUGGGGUUUAACAGAUACAAUGAAUCUGAGAUCAAGUGAAGAGGGUAAAAUUAGCUCUGAACAGAAAUCUGUUGGAGGAAUGCUUAGUGGAGACACAGAAGCAGCUGUUGCCAGGGACACUUUUGAAGGAAUGCUUGAAACAUUAUCAAGAACAAAGGAAAGUAUUGGACGAGCAACUCGCCAUGCCAUUGAUUGUGCUAAGUAUUGCAUUGCCACUGAGAUUGUAGAACUUCUUGUUCAGAGGCUGGAAAAUGAAUCGAGUUUCCAUCGGAGAAUUGAUCUGUUCUUUCUAGUAGAUUCAAUUACACAAUGUUCGCACAGCCAGAAGGGUAUUGCUGGAUCUUCAUAUAUUCCUGCUGUGCAAGGUGCUCUCCCACGGUUGUUAGCUGCAGCUGCUCCAACAGAAGGUGCUGCACGGGAAAAUCGUCGUCAAUGCCUUAAAGUUUUAAGAAUCUGGUUGGAACGCAAAAUUCUUCCUGAAUCUAUUCUGCGUCAAUACAUGAAUGAUAUUGGAUCUUCAAAUGAUGAUAGAGCUGGUGGCAUUUUACCAAGACGCCCACGAGUAGAGCGGGCUGUGGAUGACCCAAUGAGGGAAAUAGAAGGCAAUCUUGAUGAGUAUGGCAGCAAUGCAAAUUUUCACUUGGCAGGCUUCUCUAUGUCAAAUGUCUUUGAAGAUGAAGAGGAACCAUGUGCAAGUGACUGGAAGAAGAGUGAUGAUGAUUUGUCAGUUGAACCCGCUGAGGCCCAAGAAGAUCAAACCAAGAGUUCUACUGAUCCCAUUGAUAGACAUCGGCACAUUUUGGAGGACGUUGACGGGGAACUUGAAAUGGAAGAUGUCUCUCCGACAUCAGAGUAUGAUCCAAGUUCCUCCAAAGAUUAUAUGGUUCAACCAAUUUCACAGGACAUUCCUCAUUGUUCUUUAUCAGAUCAGAGCAAUACUUGUCCUCCUUUGCCUCCAGGUUCUCCUCCAUUGCCUGAAGAUCCACCUCCUUCUCCUCCACCCUUACCUCCAUCGCCACCUCCGCCGCCUCCUAGUUCACCUCCUCCUCCGCCACCUUCCUCUCCUCCUUUUGUCUGCCAGCCAUUAUUGCCUCAGCCUUAUGUGGCACCUUUAAAUGAUACUCAAGCUCAUGUAUUUAGUAGCCAGCAGCCUAGCCAUAUUGUCAGUAAUGCAACUAUGCUUGAUUCAGUUUGUCACAGCUCCUCAGGCAUUCCAUUAUCUCAGAUACAUCCUGGACAAAAUGUUACAUCAUUUAAUUCUCCAAUAUCUUUUGAGAGGUUGCAUGGUGCAGCCUUCACACAGCAGAUGCAAAUGAAUAAUAUUAAUAUGUCUGCAUCUCAGCAAUCUUAUCGUCCCCCUCCACCCGCAAUAGCACUAUCUAAUCAGUUCUCAUAUGUUAGGGCUGAAAUACCUGUCCAACGUGUUUGGUUGGAUUCAUUAUCAGCUCGUGCACCUGAAUGUGAGAAACAAUCUGCUCAAGAGGACCAAUGGAAGCUUGUCAAUAAUGAUAGAAGCACAAGACCUGAAAAUCAGGCAUCCAUCCACCAAGCAGGAGGUUGCAUGACAACCUUAUGUACAGGCUCAUCUUUUAUGCAAGAAGCUACUCCUGGAAUGUUUUGGCAAUCUGGAGGUGCACAGUAUCCUUGUGGUGCACAAAUUCCAGCACAAAACCUUAUGAUCAGAGCACCUGUGUGUCCAAUGCCAAAUAUGGAUCUAGGUUUUAAUGCUUAUUCGGAUCAGGUAGCAGUGUUAACAGGUGGCAUGGUUGCAGCACCUACAGAUCAAGUUUUGAUCCAGAUGUUGACGUCAAGAUCCGGUAUUUCUGCAGCAAACACUUGGAGGCCUACUUGAUACUUCAUACAACGCCUUAAUUUUUUGUCAGAGCAUGUAAGCUGUUCUCUGGUCAUGAUUAUUCUUCAAAUGAACUGGAGGAUAGUUUAUAUUGUCUUCAUGGAGGAUGAUAAUUAGGAGGUUACGGAGCUUACAAUUAUCUCUUACUAAAUUAUUGAUUAUAGUGUUGAAGAAGGUUGCACUCAAGCGCAGCAAUUGUGAGGGGAUGUAUGAAGCACAAGAGUGGUCAAUCUUACCUUUCGUAAUGAAGAAAGAUGCAUUUACAAACACCAAGCAUAGACGAGGAUAAUGCAAGAGGACCGACAACCUUCAAUUGUAUUGAAAGUGAGAUAAUCCACACACCACUUUUAUAUUGGGGUAUUAUAUGCGAAGUAUAUUUUAUCGAUUUAUGAAUUUGGUUUGUU